GAAAUGCGAUAAGUAAUGUGAAUUGCAGAAUUCAGUGAAUCAUCGAGUUUUUGAACGCACAUUGCGCCCCGCGGUUCGCUGCGGGGCAUGCCCGUCUCAGCGUCAUCAAGAUAGCACAUCAAGCCGGGCUGUCCCAACGGGUCUCCCGGGCUUGGACCAUGUCGCGGUAGGCGAAGCGAAGGGCAUUUCUGUAUGCCUCGCCUCCGCGGAAAACGAUUCCUCAGCGGUCAGGGAAAAACCCUUGGUCAGGUUGGCUGGAUGUGAUAAGCCGGUACUGUAGACUUUAUCCACAUACACCAUCGGCCGGGGCCCCUGGCUCGAACCUCUGUUUGCGCAAGCAGCUGAAGAUGAAGCCUUUGACCUGAGAUCGGGUAGGGAUACCCGCUGAACUUAA
rnacentral:misc_RNA from 1 species